rnacentral:lncRNA from 1 species
UCUCAAUUGCUCUGCAUCUGCUCUGGAUCCCAAAUUAACUGGGAUAGGAGUAUUAUUUACAAACAAACCCAACAAUGGCGUGCCUCAGUAAAUUUGGAUUCAGUGUGGCGAAACAACAGCGACGAGGAGCGUCAGUGGCGGCACGAGCUGUAAUUAAUGUACAGUUACAAACAGUUCCUUCUUCAGGAAGACGAGAGAGAGGCCUACAGCUACUACAUUGCGAAACGCCGGCCGGCCGGCGAGAACAGAGUGGCAGGCCGGCCGGCCGGCGAGAGGGGAAGGGAAAACAAAUUGAAGGAACGGAACUAACAAGUGGGACAACAAAAUUGUCGCGGCGAGGAUGCAGCGAGGGAUCCGGAACGCGUCACUAUUCAGGGCGAGGCGAUCGUUGGCUCGUCGUCG